CCAAUAGCGUAUAUUAAAGUUGUUGCAGUUAAAAAGCUCGUAGUUGAACUUCGGGGUUUACCCAUUGGUCAGGUUUAAUUAUCUGUACUGGUGAGAUAAAUCUCUACCUUCUGAGGAACUUUCAUGCCAUUUAUUUGGUGUGGGAGGAAAUCAGGACUGUUACUUUGAAAAAAUUAGAGUGUUUAAAUCAGGCUAACGUCUGAAUACAUUAGCAUGGAAUAAUGAAAUAGGACGGACUGAUUCUAUUUCGUUGGUUUCUAGGAUCACCGUAAUGAUUAAUAGGUAUAGUUGGGGGCAUUAGUAUUCAAUUGGAAGAGGUGAAAUUCUUGGAUUUAUUGAAGACUAACUACUGCGAAAGCAUUUGCCAAGGAUGUUUUCAUUAAUCAAGAACGAAAGUUAGGGGAUCGAAGACGAUCAGAUACCGUCGUAGUCUUGACCAUAAACUAUGCCGACUAGUGAUCGGACGAAGUUAAUUUUAUAAUGACGCGUUCGACACCUUACU
rnacentral:rRNA from 1 species